AAGACUAUAGACCUGCGGAGUACCUGCGGAGGGAUCAUUAUUGAAUAAACUUGGUGGGUUGUAGCUGGCUUCUUGAAGCAUGUGCACACCCAUCAUCUUUAUCCAUCAUCCACCUGUGCACCCUUUGUAGUCUUAUGAAAUAGAAAACAGCAGUGCCUCGAUGAGCCCCAUCGGAUAUGGAAAGUGUUGCGUGAAAGCGUGGCUCUCUCCUAUAUGCUUGUGAUCGUUUCUUGACUAUGU
rnacentral:misc_RNA from 1 species